UAUACUAUUUAUUUAUUUUUUAUAAAAAAGGACCCGCCUAGCCCGCCUAGGCGGCCCAUUUUUCGAAAACUUGAAUGGCGUGUUUUUUUUUAAAGAUUUCUUUUUUCCUGGCGGGUCUGGCAUCCCUGCAAAUACAUCAAGCUAGGGUUUUAGCGACUCAUGUUUAUCAACAACGUUAAGCUUUUGGAUCCAUAAGAUGGGCAAAAAGAUUAAAUCAAAAACUCCCAGAGAGAUGCAAGAUAAUACAGCUGCUGCAGAAGAGGAAAACCCCUCAUCUUCGGCCAAAAAAUUGCUGAAUCAUUGGUUGAGAUUCAGUUCAGGAACACUUGGAGAGCAAUGAGGGUGAUCCCGAGUUACUUGUUUACAUUCCGCUGCAUCCCUCAAAGAAAAGAUUAACUGAACGUUUGGUGGAGAGCAUGUACGUUUCAAGUUUAUCUUCCUUCGGUCGAGUAUUAUGUGGAUAAAUAUGGAAUUAAAAUGCUAAUUUGAACACUUUUUAUCUGCAAUUAGCGAGAAGUGUUUCCUUUAAAAAAUAUAUAUAUAUAUAUAUAUAUAUAUUUCUGAUCUGGGGGAAGGGAUUACAAUUUGGGACCUCUUCCAACAAAGUGGAGAGAACUAACAGUUGAACAAUAGCUAGUUGGUGUCUCCUAUUUAAAAUUAGGAUGCCCAAAUUGCUGACCUUUUAACUGUCUGAAAUCACAAAAACUUAUAUUUGAUAGCUUUAUAGGAUUUAUGGUAAAGAUGGACCGGCUUAUUUCUGAAACCAUGUUCAUGUGAUUCUUUUGCAUUCUGUUUUUCUUUUUCUGGGUGGUGCCUUCAGAUUAACAGCUCAGAAAAUAGAUCAGUGCUUCAUGUAGCUCUUCAUGCUCCAAGGGAUGCAGUUAUACAGAGUGAUGGGAAAAAUGUGGUCCCAGAUGUUUGGGAAGUUCUGUAAAAGAUCCAAAAGUUUUCUGAGAGUAUUCGAAGUGGAUUUUGGGUAAUCACUACAAUUUUUUUUAGUAUCCAUUUUGGGUCCAUGUUGCCUGAAUUGUGAAGUAAUUGGCAAUUCUGGUAGGUUGGUGCCACAGGAAAAGCCCUGAAGGAUGUCAUUCCAUCUUGUCAAGUUAUAACUCUAUUUUGCAGUCUUGUUUACUAUUUAGUGUGAGUUUCCUUGUGAAAAUGAUUAAGCUUGCUUUGCGAUAAACUUUGGGCUAUACUUUUUAAAUACA